AUGGGCACAGUUUUGGAUGCUCUCACUUCGAAAUUUGUGACAAGGCUGGGUCGGCUUAUUGAAGAUGAGAUUGUCAUGACACUAAGCGUGAAAAAGGACAUCAAAAGGCUGAAGAAAAAUCUGGAACACUUCAGCGCAGUUCGUGAGGAUGCGGAAGCUCUGGCCAUGGAAGAUAGACGCAUAGAGGCAUGGUGGAAGAACAUGAGUGAUGUUAUGUUUGAUGUUGAUGUCAUCAUAGAUCUUGUUAUGGUUCAUUCACAGAAAUUUUUGCUGCCAGCUAGAUCGCUCUGUUUCAAUCAGCCUAUGGUCUCUUGUUUUGAAAAGAUUUUAUUUGAUAACAAGGUGGCUAGAAGAAUUAAGGACAUAAAUGAAAAGCUUGAUGAGAUUAAAAUGAACACAGAGAUGUUCAGCUUGGAUAGAUCCCUUCGUCAACAGUUCCAGGUAACAAGUGUGGACAGAAAUCAGACAUCUCCUAUAGAUGAACUAGAGGUUGUUGGAAGAGAGAUCAAGCAAUCGGUUGAUGACAUGGUACAAAUAAUUGUCAGUGGCUGCCAUGAGAAUAAUACAAGUGUUCUGGGGAUUCAAGGAAUGGGAGGCAUUGGUAAGACAACGUUAGCUCAGAAGAUGUAUAAUCAUCAGAUGAUAAGAGAGAAAUUUCAAGUUCAUAUAUGGCUGUGCAUUUCGCAGAGCUACACAGAGACCGGGUUGAUAAAGCAGGCAAUACGGAUGGCUGGAGAAAAGUGUGAUCAGCUAGAGACCAAAACCGAGCUUCUACCACUUUUAGUGGACACUAUCAAAGGAAAGAGUGUUUUUCUUGUGCUGGAUGAUGUGUGGAAGUCUGAUGUCUGGAUUGAUCUUCUUCUAUCACCUUUCAUGAGAGCUUCGAACUUCCAGAUCCUUGUCACCACAAGAGACCUGGAUGUUUUGUCAGAAAUGCAUGCAACAUAUAUCCACCGAGUAAACAAAAUGAAUUACAGUGAUGGCUUAGAAUUGCUUAUGAAGAAGUCCUUUCAAUCAUCCGAGCAAAUAUGUGAAUUCAAGAAUAUUGGCCAUGACAUUGUAAAGAAAUGUGAUGGUCUUCCUCUUGCCAUCAAGGUUGUUGCUGGUGUCCUAUCCACCAGAAGAACAGUUGCCGAAUGGAAGAGCAUCCGAGAUAGUAAAUGGUCCAUUCAUGGACUCCCCAAAGAACUUGGAGGUCCCCUGUAUUUAAGUUACAGCAACUUACCCCCUCAACUCAAGCAGUGCUUUCUCUGGUGUGCUUUGUUGCCUCCUAAUUUUGCAAUAGGUCGUGAUGAUGUUGCUUACUGGUGGGUUGCCGAAGGUUUUGUGAGGAAAGAGCAUGACCACUCAAUACAUGAAACUGCUGAAGAGUAUUACCUUGAGCUAAUCAGGAGGAAUCUUCUGCAACCGAUACCUCUGUUUGUAGAUAAAGGCAUCAAGGACAUACCAGACUCAGUGGGAAACUUGGUGUUGUUGAGGUUGCUAGAUCUGAGCUAUACCGAGAUUAACAAACUUCCGGAGUCCAUGGGAAGGCUCAUCAGCCUUGAAUACCUCUCUUUGCUUGGUUGCAAUCAAUUAGAUAGCCUGCCAGCUGGUCUCAUGAGACUGUCCAAUAUAAGUUUUUUGCAGCUAGAGCAGACUGCAGUUGAUCAUGUUCCAAAAGGAAUUGCAAAGUUUCAGCAGCUCUAUAACCUAAAAGGAGUUUUCGAGAGUGGGACUGGAUUCAGAUUAGACGAAUUGCGAUGCCUCCCCAAUAUCCAACGUCUGUGGGUUGAGAAGCUAGAGAAAGCGGCACCAGUGGGUGAACUUGUACUGAAGAACAGUCAUAAUCUUAGGGAACUGAGACUGCGUUGCACAAUGGCCAGUACCAAAGAGAGAACUCGUUACCAGACUGGUGUGGUUGAGAGAAUUCAGCAAGUCUAUGACAUGCUUAUUCCAUCACCAAGCCUAGUAUAUAUUUAUCUUGAUGGAUUCCCGGGCGUAAGGUUCCCAGAAUGGCUAUGCUCAGAACCAGAGCUUAAUAUGCCAAGUUUGUGUCAUAUGCACCUCAAUGACUGCAUAUCAUGUUCAGAGCUUCCACCAGCAGGUCAGAUGCCAGAAUUGCUAGUUCUUCAGAUUAAAGGAGCAGAUAAAGUUGUAACUAUUGGCACAGAACUCCUGGGGAAAGGUGUGAGAAGUGCAGCGGCUUUCUUCCCAAAACUUGAACUGCUUCACAUCAUUGGCAUGUGUAAUUUGGAAAAAUGGUCACUGUACAUAAGAAAUAUGUGCGAUGACAUGGAGGACAACUCUCAGCAGUUCUCUCUGAUGCCUUGCCUUAAGCGUGUGCUGCUUCUUGAUUGCCCCAAACUGAGAGCUCUGCCUCGAGACAUGUACAUGAUUUUCAAUUUGAAGAGAAUCCACAUUGAAGGUGCUCACGAGCUUCAUGAAGUUGUCAAUCUUCCUGCUGUUGUGUGGCUCAAGGUGAAGAACAACGCGUGUUUAAGGAGGAUUUCUAACCUUUGUAAGCUGCAGGACCUGUUUGCACAGGACUGCCCAAUGCUGGAUCAGGCAGAGAACCUGUACGCACUGAAUAGGGUGUACAUGAUUGACUGCCAACACGCCCAAGAGUUCAGGAAUUGUCUCGCAGAAGAAGAACAAGGCAUCCUAGUCCAUGUUGCAGCAGAUGGGCGUAAUAUCUUCCCGGAUGAAACUCUCUAUAACUAG
rnacentral:rRNA from 1 species